UACGAGGGGGGCAAGCGGUUGUUCGGAAUUAUUGGGCGUAAAGGGCGCGUAGGCGGUGCGGUAAGUCUGAUGUGAAAUCUCCGGGCUCAACUCGGAGUCUGCAUCAGAAACUGCCGUGCUCGAGUGUGGGAGAGGUGAGUGGAUUCCCGGUGUAGCGGUGAAAUGCGUAGAUAUCGGGAGGAACACCUGUGGCGAAGGCGGGUCUCUGGGCCGAUACUGACGCUGAGGAGCGAAAGCGUGGGGAGCGAACAGG
rnacentral:rRNA from 1 species